AUGCGACUCUUUCUUGCUCCUCUUUUCAGUUUAUCUCGCUUGCUUUUUCCCCAGGAUCUGAAACCAGAACCAAAUUUAGUGGUGACUAGCUUUCAGCUUUUGAUCCCUGAGCGCACGCAUAUGUGGCUGGUGAAAGGAGUGGAGGAGAUGAGAAUGAGAAAGUAUUCCCGGUGCUCACUGAUUGCCGCCGUACGUCGAAUGGAACCGGAGAAAGGAGUGGCUGGAGAUCACGGGCGCAUACACCGUCCAUGCCGUCGGAAUCGCAUUCCCCUCCCACUCGCCUCCUCUUUAUAUCGCGUCCCUCACAACUUCUUCUCCGCCCCAACACACACACACACACACACACACACACACACACACACACACACAAGGGCCUUCCUCGUGAAGCAGAGCUCGAUCGGCUCCGAGAACCUCGCACAAGUCCCAGGCCAUGAUCAGAGACAUAUCUUCCCGUACAUCGUGGGCGAGGAUGAAGAAGAACAUGACGAUGAGCUUCCCGACGAGGAGCCGGCGUUUUUGCCGGUUGAACGACCUCACCAUGUCGACCGCCUCUCCUCGACAAGUGCCAGGGAGAUCUGCUCGUGCCAUGAUGAGGUCGUUCAACCAGCAAAACAACGGCGGUCGUCGUCGGCGGCAGGCCCCGUGGCGCCCAAGCCCUCACGGGACACUGAGGCGCAGGACCUGCAAGGUGGUAGGAGGUGGACACCUUUAGGCACUCGUCAGUGA
rnacentral:rRNA from 1 species